rnacentral:rRNA from 1 species
GAAGGUUAAUCGGUCUCUAUCCUAUUUUUUAGAAUUUAAUUUUUAAAGUGAAAAAGCUUGAAUUUUUUAAAGGGACAAGAAGACCCUAUUGAGCUUGUAAUUUUAUUACUAUCAUGUAUUUAAUAUAUAAAGUAGUAUAUAAAUUUUAAUUGGGGUGAUUAAGGAAUAAAUAAUUAAAUUAAUAACUUCCUUAGGUUUAAUAUUGUUAGAUAAAGUAACCAAUAUUAUUGCUUAUAUUAUAGUUACCAUAGGGAUAACAGCGUAAUUUGUUUAGAGAGUUCUUAUUGAAAAAUGAGAUUGCGACCUCGAUGUUGGAUUAAAGUAACCUUAAGGUGCAGAAGCUU